rnacentral:lncRNA from 1 species
AUCAACAUAACUUAAACAACUCUACAGACUGCAUUAAACGUCAUCAUUAGGUCUCAAUACCAAUUAGGGGUUCACUCUUAAUCAACACGUGCGACACAGAUCGCACAAACUCACAAGCAACUACAUCCUGGCUGUGCUCGCGAGGCGAGAGUUCUUACUCGCCGUGGCGAGUACCACUCAACUCCCAAACUAAGCUUGUUCUGGGUUCCCUCUGAUCCUACAUUCAUUCCUAAUCAAUACUAGGUAUGUUCAGGCACUCAAAGGUACACAAGGUCCAACUAAACAGGUAGAAACACAAAAUCUAACAUACACUCUGCCUUAGCUCGCUAUGGUGAGCUGCGUCACUCAACUCGCGAGGCGAAGGGAAUUGCUCGCCAUGGCGAGUUGCACCAAACAACUCGCGAGGCGAAGGGAGAAGGCUUGCGUGGCGAGCGAUGAAGUUCAUCACUCGCGAGGCGAGGAUCAUCGCUCGCCAAGGCGAGCGAUGAACAGAAGCUCGGGCAGACUAAGGGUUUUCUCGAAAAUCCAUCAAACAACAUGGUUCAAAGCCUAAUUUUGAUUUCAUAAUCCAUCCUAAACAUGUUCUAAGGUUAAAGGACGGUUUCUACCUCAAUCUAAACAAGUUUUACCGUUUGAUCAUCAAUUUUUAGGGUUUUGACCUAAUUCCAAAACUUUUCUAAACCAAUCCUAACUUUGUCAAUUAAUCAUCAGAAUUACAGCAACAAACGUUAUUGAAUUAUUAGUCUCACCCUUACCUUGUUUGAAGAAAAUCGCAGCACUCUCCCUUGGUUUCUCUAGACUUGGCUUUUUCUCCCUUUUCUCCAAAAACAGUCGUACGUACGUUAUGUUUUUCUAAACUAGGUCUAACCUUUUAUAUCUCCUCUUAAUUACUUAUGUUAUGUCACUUUGUCCCCCAAAACUAUCUAAAAUAUCAAAACAGCCCUCAACUAAAUAUUUUAUAUUAUUUUCAUAUCUUUAUUCUAUUUAACAAUAAAAUAAAUCUCAUAUCCUUAUCAAAGCCUUCAAAAUUCAUAACUUAUCACGUCAUCAAUCAAAUCACUAAAAUCACCACAAAUCAUCAAAACAUAUCAAAAUCAUGCAUAUACUAUAUAAUUAUAAUAUAAUCGCCUAAACUCGAUUAAAUAAACGAUUAAACGAAGGUGGGCGUUACAACUCUCCCCCACUUAAAAGAUUUUCGUCCUCGAAAAUUUACCUCAAGCAAACAACUCCGGAUAAGACUCCAGCAUCUUAUUCUCAAGCUCCCACGUCAAGCUUUCACCAGUCGCUCCCGACCAAACGACUCUCACGAGAGGUAUCUCCUUGCCCCUCAACGUCUUCACUUUACGAUCAUCAAUCCUCACCGGUAAAGUUUCUACCGUAAGGUUGUCUCUAACUUGCACAUCGUCACUCUGAAUUACAUGAGAUGGAUCUGGAACAUACUUCCGAAGUUGCGACACAUGGAAAACAUUGUGCAAAUUCGAAAGAUGCGGCGGUAAACCCACUCGGUAAGCCACCGUUCCAACUCUUUCCAAUAUCUGAUAUGGACCAAUGAACUUCGGGGUCAACUUCUUUGACUUCAAAGCACGUUCUACACCAGUUAUAGGAGUGACUCUCAAGAACACGUGGUCUCCUUCCUGAAACUCAAGAUCUUUUCUACGCUUAUCAUGAUAACUCUUUUGUCGACUCUGCGACGCCUUCAUUUUCUCUCGAAUCAUCUAAACUUUCUCAGUAGUUUGCUGAACAAUCUCUGGUCCUAAGACCACUCUUUCACCUGACUCAAACCAGCACAACGGAGUUCUGCAUCUCCGACCAUAUAAAGCCUCAAAAGGUGCCAUUCCAAUACUAGAAUGAUAGCUAUUAUUGUAUGUGAACUCGAUCAACGGAAGAUGACUAUCCCAAGUUCCUCCUUGCUCAAGAACACAAAUCCUCAACAGAUCCUCUAGCGACUGAAUUGUCCUCUCCGACUGACCAUCUGUCUGUGGAUGAUACGCCGAACUCAAUCUCAACUUCGAACCCAAGGCCUCUUGCAAACUUUUCCAAAAUCUAAAAGUAAAUCUUGGAUCUCUAUCUGAUACAAUGUUCGAAGGAACACCAUGUAGCUUCACAAUCUCCUUGAUGUAAAUCUCUGCCAACUGGGCAACAGGGAAACUAAUAUUAAUAGGUAGAAAAUGAGCCGACUUCGUCAAUCUAUCAACAAUAACCCAAAUUGCGUCGUUCCCUCUAGGAGUAUUUGGCAAACUCGUCACAAAAUCCAUAGAUAUACUAUCCCAUUUCCAUUCUGGCAGAUCCAAAGGUACCAUCAUCCCAGCGGGUUUCUGAUGCUCGACUUUCGACUUCUGACAAACUAAGCAGGAAUACACAAAUUGUGCCACAUCUCGUUUCAAACCAGACCACCAGAAAAUCUUCUUUAAAUCAUGAUACAUCUUCGUAGCUCCCGGGUGAAUACUCAAGCUACUUCUAUGACUUUCUUCAAGAAUCAUCUUCUUAAUCUCUUCAUUGUCUGGAAUGCAAAUUCUUCCUCGGAAUCUCAACACACCUUGAUCAUCGAUUCUAAAAUCACUGUCUUUAGUCUGAUCUCUAGCAACCAACAAGUCCACAAACUUUACAUCAACUUUCUGUGCUUCCUUGAUACUUUUCAGAAAUUCACUAUCAAUCUUCAGCAUACCCAGUUUCACGCUCUGAGGUGACCAUUCACAAACCAAACUCAUAUCUCUGAAAUGUUCAAGUAAUUCGAACUCUCUGACCAUCAUGGCGGACAUAUGCAAUGUCUUCCUACUCAAGGCAUCUGCAACAACAUUAGCUUUACCUGGAUGAUAAUUCAAACCAAAGUCAUAAUCUUUCAGCAACUCUAGCCAUCUACACUGCCUCAUGUUCAAUUCCUUCUGAUAGAACAAAUACUUCAAACUCUUGUAAUCACUAAACACCUCAAACCUCGAACCAUACAAGUAAUGUCUCCAUAUCUUCAAUACAAAGACUACGGCCGCCAACUCGAGAUCAUGCGUGGGAUAAUUCAUCUCAUGAACUCAUCAACUGUCUUGAAGCAUAAGCCACCACUUUACCUUCUUGCAUAAGCACACCAUCCUUAAACCCAACUUGGACGCAUCACAAUACACCACAAAAGGUUCAUCUGACUUCGGCAAAAUCAAAACUGGAGCAGUCGUCAAACGUUUCUUCAAUUCACCGAAACUUUUCUCACAAUGGACGUCCCACACGAAAGUUUUACCUUUACAAGUCAACUGCGUACGCGGAAGAGCUAACUUGGAAAAUCCUUCAAUAAAUCUUCUGUAGUAACCAGCUAAACCCAAAAAGCUUCUAAUCUCUGUAACGGACUUAGGAGUAUCCCAUUGCGAUACAGCUUCGACUUUAGACGGAUCCACAGCAAUACCAUCUCCAGAAAUAACAUGGCCAAGAAAACUCACCUCUUUCAACCAGAAUUCAUACUUAGACAAUUUGGCAUAAAGUGUCNUUCUCUUCAACACUUGUAAGACAAUCUUGAGAUGCUCGGCAUGUUCUUCUUCAGUCUUGGAGUAAAUCAAAAUAUGGUCGAUAAACACAAUUACGAACCAAUCCAAAAAUGCAUGGAAGAUGCGAUUCAUAUACUCCAUAAACACUCUAGGUGCAUUGGUCACACCGAAAGGCAUAACUUUAUAUUCGUAGUGGCCAUAACGCGUUCUGAAAGCUGUCUUCUGCAUAUCCUCAUCCUUUACUUUAAUCUGGUGAUAACCUGAUCUCAAAUCAAUCUUGCUGAAAACUCGUGCACCCACUAACUGAUCCAUCAAAUCAUCAAUUCUCUGAAGUGGAUACCUAUUCUUGAUAGUUACCUUGUUCAACUGCCGAUAAUCAAUACAUAACCGCAUACUACCAUCUUUCUUCUUUACUAGCAAAACCGGCGCUCCCCAAGGUGAAACACUUGGUCUAACAAACUUCUUCUCAAGCAAGUCCUCCAACUGUUUCUUCAACUCAGAUAACUCGGAAGUAGACAUACGAUAAGGUGCCAUCGAGACCGGCUUCGUUCCAGGAACAAGAUCAAUAGAAAACUCGACUUCUCUCUCUGGAGGCACAUCAGGAAUCUCAUCUGGAAAAACUUCAGGAAAUUCACACACCACCGGUAGCCUAUCAAUCACUGCUCGAUUCUCGACAGAUAAAGAAGCCAUUAAUGAAAACAUCAAGAUACCGUCGCGUUCCAGUUGCUUCAGCUGCUUAGUAGACAAACUCUGCACCACUUUCCUCUUCGACGGAAGAGAAAUGUACUGACUUGCUAAAACAAUUGAUGAGAACGUGGUUGUACUCUAACCAGUUCAUACCCAGAAUCACAUCCAUACCACUCAAGGGUAGACAAACUAAAUCCAUUUCAAAAUCACGACCAAACAUAGACAAAGGACAUUUCAAACAUACAAGAGAAGUAGUCACCGAACCCUUAGCUGGAGUUUCGACAACCAUCUCUCCAUUCAUAUCAGAUAACUCAAGACCCAAAGCAGAAACACAAUCGAAAGCAAUAAAGCAAUGCGUAGCACCAGUAUCAAUAAUAACAACUAAAGGAGUAUUAUUAAUAUAGCAAGUACCUCUGAUCAAACGAUCCUCAUUCUCUGUCUGAGUCCCAGUCAAAGCAAAGACCCUACCAGUAGUCGGCGCCCUCUUAGGCUGAGUACACUGUGAACUAAUGUGACCCUCUCCAUUGCAAUUAAAGCACACAAUGUCCGUACGAUUGCAAUCAGCUACAACAUGACCUUUCUUGCCACACCGGACACACUUCUUGAUUUCCUCAGGGCAGACAUUGCUUUCGUGGCCUUUCUCGCCACAAUUGAAACACACAAUCUCUGCAGCAUCCUUCUUCUUAGGCCGCCUAACCUCGACCAUCUUCUGUUUCCCUUUAUCAGCGGGGGCACUGUACGGCUUAGGAAGACUCUGUUGUCCCUUACCCUUCCUCUCAUUCACUACCUUGUAGUGAGCCUUCGUAUCCUCUUCAUAGAUCCUGCAGCUAUUAACCAAAUCCGGAAAAACUCUCAGUUGUUAAUCCCAAUCGCCCUCUUGAUGUCGGGCCUCAAACCGUUCUCGAACUUGAUGCAUCUCGAGAACUCAGCAUUCUCAGCAGUAUAGUGCGGGUAGAACUUUGACAGCUCCACGAACUUGGCAGCAUACUCUGUCACAGACAUAUUUCCUUGCUUCAGCUCAAGGAAUUCGAUCUACUUCUUCCCGCGAACAUCUUCCGGAAAGUAUCUUCUCAGGAACUCUCUCCUGAACACGGCCCAAGUCACAACAGCUCCCUCCUGCCCAAGGGUAGGCAGAAGAGCAACCCACCAGUCAUCAGCUUCCUCGGUUAGCUGUUGAGUACCAAACCGCACUUUCUGAUCCUCAAUGCACUGCAUAACCCGAAAAAUUCUCUCAAUCUCCUUAAGCCACGUCUGGGCUCCACCAGGGUCAUAACGUCCUUUGAAAAUUGGAGGGUUCUUCUUCAUGAACGUCUCCAACAUCCUAGCUUCAGCAUUCGCGUUAGGUUGUUGUCCCACAGCUUGGGCAACAGCUUGUAGAGCAGCAGCUAACGCAGCAUUGUUUCUUCCAGCCAUUUCUGAUAUUCUACAAAAGUAGCAACAACAACAUAAGAUAGUAAUAUAAAUAUUACUAAGACUCAACACGACUCUCUAAUUGACCGGACGGACCAACCAGGCUCUGAUACCAAUUGUAACACCCCGUUUUCCCAAUAUACAAAUUUCUUAAACAUUUAUCAGAGUAAAAACCAUAAACGGGAUAUCACAUAGAAACGUAAUCCAAAAAACAGUUAAAUAAUAAUUUAACCUUCACAAAAUAUCUUAACAUAGCAGCGGAAUACUAAUUCGGUGAUCAUAAAUCAGUUUGGCACGUAGGCCCCAUUAAAAUAGUUCGUAAUCCAUAACAUGAUAAAAAUAACAUAUUAAUCACGUAAAAGAAUGAAGCAUGUAUAACAUUAAACCCCAUCCUGUUACGUAUCAGAGCGACCUAGACGACACAGUGAAGGCAAGGCCACUCACGACGGCAACUGCACACUAAGCACGAUCACCUGCAAGUUACCCAUACGAAGGGCAACAUUUUCAAGCAGAAUGGGUGAGAUUUCAUAACAAAAUAACAUUAAUCAAUGUAAUUGUGAAUCAUAAAUUAACAUCAUAAUCAUUUCUUUAACAACAUUGCAUAUUUGCUAAACAAUUAUUCAUAAUCAUAUAUCCAAUGAUCAUGAACAACAUAACAUAAUUGAUAAACACUUAUCACGUAAUCACAUAUUCAAUCAUUAUCAACAAGACAUCUUAAUCAUGACAAUGUGACAAUGCUCUUAGACUCCUUAUAUGCAUGUGGUACCAAUCGUCAUCAUAAGUAUUAAUAUACUUUAAUCGUGCGGAGGACAAAGCUCCUAUAAAACGUGCGGAGGACAAAGCUCCUAAUAAUUGUGGUGAGGACUAAGCUCAAUGAGAUGCUAUGCAUGGACACUUAUGAAUAAAACAUCGUAAUCAACAUAUCAACAUGCAUCCAAUAAUUUGGAGCUAAACUUCAUCAUAUACUUAUGCACUUAGUUAAAUAACGGAAGCAGCAUAAACAAGUCACAUAACAAGAUGAUAUCAUUAUAUCAAUAGCACAUAAUUGCAUCAUUAUCAAACCUUCAUAUCUUGCAUGAAUAUACAAUACAUUAGUUCAUAUUCAAUUAAUAUCAACAUAACUUAAACAACUCUACAGACUGCAUUAAACGUCAUCAUUAGGUCUCAAUACCAAUUAGGGGUUCACUCUUAAUCAACACGUGCGACACAGAUCGCACAAACUCACAAGCAACUACAUCCUGGCUGUGCUCGCGAGGCGAGAGUUCUUACUCGCCGUGGCGAGUACCACUCAACUCCCAAACUAAGCUUGUUCUGGGUUCCCUCUGAUCCUACAUUCAUUCCUAAUCAAUACUAGGUAUGUUCAGGCACUCAAAG